rnacentral:rRNA from 1 species
GAUGAACGCUGGCGGCGUGCCUAAUACAUGCAAGUCGAGCGAACAGACGAGGAGCUUGCUCCUCUGACGUUAGUGGCGGACGGGUGAGUAACACGUGGAUAACCUACCUAUAAGGCUGGGAUAACUUCGGGAAACCGGAGCUAAUACCGGAUAAUAUAUUGAACCGCAUGGUUCAAUAGUGAAAGACGGUUUUGCUGUCACUUAUAGAUGGAUCCGCGCCGCAUUAGCUAGUUGGUAAGGUAACGGCUUACCAAGGCAACGAUGCGUAGCCGACCUGAGAGGGUGAUCGGCCACACUGGAACUGAGACACGGUCCAGACUCCUACGGGAGGCAGCAGUAGGGAAUCUUCCGCAAUGGGCGAAAGCCUGACGGAGCAACGCCGCGUGAGUGAUGAAGGUCUUCGGAUCGUAAAACUCUGUUAUUAGGGAAGAACAAAUGUGUAAGUAACUAUGCACGUCUUGACGGUACCUAAUCAGAAAGCCACGGCUAACUACGUG